rnacentral:rRNA from 1 species
CCUACGGGAGGCAGCAGUGGGGAAUUUUGCGCAAUGGGGGAAACCCUGACGCAGCAACGCCGCGUGGAGGAUGAAGCCCCUUGGGGCGUAAACUCCUUUCGACCAAGACGAUAAUGACGGUAUCUGGUGGAAGAAGGACCGGGUAACUCUGUGCCAGCAGCCGCGGUAAU